rnacentral:lncRNA from 1 species
AAAAGUCCAAGUGUAGCAUGCAUGAAUUCCUUCCAGAGUUGGACAGGCUUGCUUCAACAAUUUGUGAUGUUUAAAAGCCAUUAAAUUACUUAGCCAUCUGCUGUUAAUAAUGGGAAACUUCUGAUAGAGCUGAAGGUCUGAACAAUGGGAAUGAAUUGUUGAUUGUCCUUAAAGUGCAGUAGGCUUUGUUGUAAUCAUGAAACUGCAGUCUAUAAAUAUUUUAAGUAUCUUAAAAGUGUAUUUCUAACUCUCCCUUCUGUGGGCUUCUGAAUGCAGCACUCGUGUAAAUGAAAUGCAAUGUGAGAGGAUCUGAUUUAAUCCCUACUGGCUUCAAUGUGCCUACUGAGUUUGGAGGCUAGAAGCAACGCUAGAAAUUAUGUUAACAGGAGUGGCACGUAGCUGACCUGCAUGGUAUUCACCAAUAGGCAGGAGCACAUUCUCCCCCAAGUUAAUAAUUUCUUAUCCCUUGGAUGACUCUGUAAAUACAUGUGCAGUACAGCUGGAGCUACAGAAGUACUAAAACAGGAAAAAAUUAGAAAUGUUCUUCUACCAUAUUUUUCUCUGAAUCUGUGCUCCUCGUUGUAGGAGUGAUUUAGAGAUGACCACAUGACAAAGCACGCAGCACAUGAGGAUGCUGAUUUUUUUUUUUGUCUCCUCUCCCCUCCUCACUUCAAUAGGGACCAGCUUUCUCUUUUACAGUGAUGUUGGACAGUUAAUACACGGAAAAAUGCAGUGGAUAUCAGACACAAGAUCAUUCCCACGUCCAGCUGACAGCUUAGUGCCAGAAAUGCAGUGCUACUCAAUAGACUUUGGUGGACUUCUGCAGGCGCUGCUAAACCUGAUGGAGAUGGAGUGCACAGCAGACCGGUGUUGGCAUAGCUAAGUUCUAAGCAAGGAAAUGGACUUCUUGGAAACAGUGCUGAGGUAGUGAUGUCCGGUUUUCCCAGUUCUAACAGCUCCCAAGGUUUGCAGCUACUAGGUUUUCUGUAACGGCUUGUACUUGGAGAAUCUCUUUCAAAAUCGGUGAGCAGGGUGCUCUUGUGCUGGACUAUGAGGAGUAACUUUCUACGAGUUUUGGAACUGUGCUGAUAUGGCACUUGGCAAGCUUUACCUGGGAGCAUCUCGUGCAGAGAACAUGAAGAGCAUAUCAGAGGUUAGAGGAUAAAGAAAAGCAGAAAUAUUUGCUCUUCUCCAGAUGCCUGUGACUCACAUGCUGAUGAGUGCCUGUUCUGCUUUAGCCUCCAAUGCAUCUUUUGAGGCCUGAUGUUCCAGGGAAGUCCUUGUGCUGCAUAUAUUUGAGAUCAAAGCCAGGACCUAUCAAAUGUGAACAGGUUUGAUGACUAGAAAGACAAGAAAGCUGCUCCCGCACUUUGCUGUUCUGGUUCUGUACUUGCAGGAGGGGAAAAAAAGGAAAAGGAUGAGAAAGCAAGACUUGACUACAUGCAAUAGCAGAUAUGGCUGGAUGUAGAAGCAGAUCUGCAGAAAGCACUACACUUCAUGGAGGAUGGGACAGGAGAAUAGCCAAAGGAAGUCGAUGAGGAUGGCUGUACUGGUGAGGAACUAAGGAGCUGACAUUACUUCAUCUGAAGAGAAAAGAAGACAAAGCACUCCUUGUAUGGUUAAAAAAAAAAAGAGGCAGAAGCAUCAAAUGAAGGACUGUUUGAAUUGGAAAACUAAUGAGUAUUUCAGGUUAUUCAAAUCCACACUUACUCUAACACUGGAAGCCGUUCCAGCAGCAGCAGCACCUUGAGGAGGACAUCAGGAGGAGGUCAGAGAGGUGAUACUUAGCAGGCCUUUCUACAGGACUCUGAAUGACACAGCUGUCCUCCUCCAGAGUUGAACUUCUGCCCUCCUGCAUGGCAAGAAACAGAUAUGCACGUCCUCUGUCAGCACUCUCCAUCUCCAGCAUUCAGACUCCUGCAACCUUCCCACUGGUCCACAUCCUCACGCAGUCUUCCCAGUAAGGGGAAGAGAGCUGUAGAGAAUAGAAUAACCAUGGUUACUCCUACAUCGUCAGAAUUGGAAAGUAAUGUUAUCCAUGGGCUGAAGGAAGCUCAACCCUGCAGUCCAUUCUUCAAGCUCCUUCCCUACAAAUGCAGUGGGAGAGAUGUCAUUUGGGUGCCAAUGAGUUGUGUGCAUCAUAAAGGUGAUCACAUACCAAUUUCUUUUGGGAUCCACUCUAAAGAAAUGAAAGCUCAUUUUUUUCAGUUCAGAGCAUUUGCCAGUAGAUGGUGUGAGGAAUUUCUCCAAUCGCAGUGACACCAAAUGGUGCUGACAUCUGAAAAAAAAGCAGUGUUUUAUGACAGUAGCAAGAAUUACUUCUCCUUGUGAAUCUAUAUUCUGUCAUAGAGUUUACAAUUGCGCUUGCUGAAAUGCUGUCAUUUUCAUUUAAACUAAAGGUCCUCUGCAGCAGGCAGCUCCACAAAGGGUCUCACCUCGUCAACAGCCAUUUCUUAGGAGUGUGAGAUUAGCAGAGCGGCAGCUGAAACAAAAGCUACCUGUUAAACACACUGAGGGUCAGCUACAGGAGGAUGAUGCUAGAUGCUUCAAAAACAAGGCCUCAAGGUACACAGAAUAGAUGCAGAUUAUUAUUAAGAGUGACUGCAGCCCCGGUUUUCCUAAACCUCAGCUCUAGUGUCUAAAUCUGUCUUCCCAUUCCCCUUGUAAGAUAGCCAGAGCUGCUGGACUCUCCAACUAUUCAGAAGACUUUCAAACAUUACCUCUUCAUGAACACCUGAAAAUGCAAUACCUACAGGUAGCAGGCUUGGUUUUUCAGGUUGUGCAGCAUUUGGGAACUCUCUCUUGUUUCUGGGAUUACUAGUAGUUCAGAACUAAAUCAAGCUUCUGAUUUAAGUUUCUGAUGGUUAGGGUGAACGUGAAUGACUUCACACAACUUUAAUGGAAGAUAAACAGCAAAAUGACCCAGUUUGACACAAGAAAUGAAUUGAAGUUUAAAAUGACUCAGUUUCCAAAAGUUUUAUCGUGGAAUUUCUCUUUGUUACUGUUCCUGUAUUUGAGAGAAAUGUGGCACACAUAGAAGACUAGCAGCUAUUUUGGUCAGCAGUGAUUGAAAAAAAACCCAUCUACUUUCACAGUUUUAUUAGAAAUGGUAUCCUGAGAGACUGGAUUUGUAUUCUAUGUUUUUUUUUAGGCAAGGCUGCACUAUAUCUGCAGUUUUGCUGGCAGAAUUUGCAUCAUUAAUUUAUGCAAACCAAAGGCAGUGAGGAAUCCAGAAACCAUUUUAAAAUGUGUGUAAGUCAGACAUUUAGAACUGAAACAUCCACACUCUUCCUAUAGCCUAUUGCUGCGUGACUUCUUUUCAGUUCCUUCUGGAGUGUGCCAGUAAUCUUUUCUUCUCUUUGGUAAGCCAGAGUAACCCAGUAUAUGAAAAAGUGCUUUGAAACAUCUGCUCUGAAUUUGUUUUUUAAUUAAUUAACAAGUAAAUGCUUUUCUGGUUGUGGUGAAUUAUGGCAACUUGUGUUAAAAUCAUUUACCGUGUUAAAAAAUGUAAAGACUUCGAUUAUAGCAUGAUCUUUCUCCUCAGAUAAUUUUAAGAUGAUGUAGUUUCAACCUCUGUAGUUUCUCCUCAUUUUUAUAUGUUUUUAAUAUGAGAUUCCAGUUUAUUAACAGCUGCAUCACUUUACAGUGCUAACAGAUGCUAUUAUACAACCAGGCUAUGAGAACAGACUUCAGCACGCAGGUUUCAAUUUCCUUACCCUUAGUAACAGGGCUGCAGAAACCAAGAUGUACUCCCCUCCUUCUUUCAGUAUCUAAUACUUUAAUACUUGGCACUUAAUCUUUAUUACAGACACCAGUAAAGCAGAUGAGCAAAGUUAUUGUAAAGUCUUUUCAUACAGGAUUUAUCUUCUCUCCUUCACGUCUGCAGUCUGUCAUACAUCAAUUUGUGGUCAUAAGGUACAAAAUAACAGUUUUUUACUGAAAGAAAAUAAAAUUCUUGGCUUGGUUCAGAGCAGGGUUCCAGGAUAGCUCGUUGGGUAGUAGGCUACAGGCAUUCUGCCUCUGACAGGGCUUUGCUUUGCCUUCUCGGCAUAUUCAGAGAGGUGCUAUGUGGCAGGGAAGUGUUCAGAAUGAGGGACUGGGCCUCUACCACCUGCGGUGACGUUGGGCCACUUGGGACAAAGGACUGAUCAGCAAGCACAGCAUCCAGUUCUCUUACCUGGCAGCCAAGCCCAGGGAGCACCAGCUCCAUUUGUGCUGCUGAAUGCAUUUAGCUAUUCAUUAAUUUUUCGAUUACUACAGAUGAGCACACGAGCUCUUCUUCCUCCUCAUUCCUUCACCCUCCUUGUCCCAGAAUGGCUUUUAGCUGCAAUGCCUGGAACUCAGACAAGCAGUGUCGCAUCUUUUCUUGCAGGAGAAGAGAACAAAGAUUUAUAGUGUGAGCUAUGAAAUGAUGAACGAGGGGGAAGUGAUUCCUCCUCCUGCUAUCUGGGGAAAUCUAAUCUUGCAUUUUAGACUUGGAGAGCAGUCAGUUUUUUCCAGAUCAAAUAAAAUAUUUUGUGUAGGAAUGACCUUUUUGUUUAAGCAAGGAAAAUGGAAGAAAUAUAUUUGUUUCAGACUGAACUGAUUUAGAUUUUGGUUCAUUUUUUGAUAUAACAUCGUGGUAUUGAGGAUAAAAUAUUGAGCAGUGCCGUGAAGAAGGUUAUGCUGUAGUUACCAUUCAUGGCCAAUAUACUUAAGCUGGUAACAAAUGCUAUGCAAAAUGAUAUAGUAGGAACUCAUUACUAUGCUUGUAAAAUAAUUUAUGUUUCUCCUUUUUUGCUGACUACUGCCUUCUCUCACACAAAAUCACAGAAUCACAAAAUAUCCCAAGCUGGAAGGGACCCAGAAGAAUCACUGAGUCCAACUCUGGCUCCACACAGGACCACCCAAACCCUAUGUCUCAGAGCAGUGCCCAAACGCGCCCUGAGCUCCAGGAGCCUGUUCCAUGCCCACUGCCCUCUGGUGCAGAGCCGUUACCCCAAACCAACCUGACCCUCCGCUGAGGCGGCUCCAUGCCAUUCCCUCAGGUCCUGUCACCAUUACCGGAGAGCAGAGCUCCGUGCUGCCCCUCUGCUCGCAGUGAGGAGCUGUGGGAUGCCAUGAGAGAGCUUUUCUCUGGGCUGAACAAACCAAGGGACCUCAGCUGCUCCCCUCCACCCCUUGCCCUCCUCAGCAGCACGAGUUAUGAAAAGGAGGCAUGGAUUACAUCUUACAGGUAAGAUGAAAAGAAAAGUAUGUAUGAGUACAAUUCCAGAGUCUGUGACUAUUAGGAUAAGAAACCAAAUAAAAAAGAAUCUACAUCUCCAGACUCUAUUCCUGGAUUAACUGUAGAUGCAAUUUACAGGAGUUCUUCCAAUCAUCCCUCACUUUGUCUUGCUUCCACUCAAGUUCAUUGUCCUAAAAGAUCUGGCUUGUUAGGAAACAAAAACUAUGUUGUUUCAACUGCUAUGUGAUGAGUCACAAUGAGUGGUAGAGAUCUUUAGAAAUGAUAGGAAUCCUUAAUUCCAACUGAGCUCAUGGCUGCUAUGGAAAAGCAGACCCUGUAUGCGCUUAGAAGAGAAAGUAAAAUACAGUCUUUUCCUACAUUGAGGAACUUGCUUUUUCUCAAGCGUUGGCAUACAUUUGAUGAUUCAGGUCAAUGCAACCUUUCCUACAUCUUUCCUACUUAAAAGAAACCCUUUAGAACAGCAGGC